CAUUCACACCCAAGCCCAAACCCUAGCCGCCAGAACCCUCACCGGAGAAGACGACCCAGCCACCGGAGGAACCGAUUGCCGCCACCCACCACCGUACCGGAGGACUUUUUGAUCACCAAACGAGGUAAAAUGUCUCUUCUUGCCUCAUUUUUCGAUGCCGAACCUCCCUGUGGCCAAAUCGGAGCUAAACCACUAGCCGAUUGGCCGAAAAAUACCACCGAAGUCCAGCGGCGCCGCUGCGGGUUUCCUCAGUUUUUGCCUCCGAUGAGGCCCUUCCUGUUUUCUGUUCGAUGUAAUUUUUAUACUACUGUGACCACCGUCCUUUUCUCUACAGGUUGACCGAAGCAAAACACCGAAUCCCAACUCGCGCUGGAGG
rnacentral:lncRNA from 1 species